ACGAACGCUGGCGGCGUGCUUAACCCAUGCAAGUCGAACGGAAAGGCCCUGCUUUUGUGGGGUGCUCGAGUGGCGAACGGGUGAGUAACACGUGAGUAACCUGCCCUUGACUUUGGGAUAACUUCAGGAAACUGGGGCUAAUACCGGAUAGGAGCUCCUGCUGCAUGGUGGGGGUUGGAAAGUUUCGGCGGUUGGGGAUGGACUCGCGGCUUAUCAGCUUGUUGGUGGGGUAGUGGCUUACCAAGGCUUUGACGGGUAGCCGGCCUGAGAGGGUGACCGGCCACAUUGGGACUGAGAUACGGCCCAGACUCCAACGGGAGGCAGCAGUGGGGAAUAUUGCACAAUGGGCGGAAGCCUGAUGCAGCAACGCCGCGUGCGGGAUGACGGCCUUCGGGUUGUAAACCGCUUUCGCCUGUGACGAAGCGUGAGUGACGGUAAUGGGUAAAGAAGCACCGGCUAACUACGUG
rnacentral:rRNA from 1 species